rnacentral:rRNA from 1 species
GAUGAACGCUAGCGGUGUGCUUAAAGCAUGCAAGUCGAACGUGAUCCUUGGAUUCGUUCAAGGUGAAAGUGGCGAACGGGUGAGUAACACGUGGGGAAUCUGCCCUUCUCUCUGGGAUAACUCGGGGAAACUCGAGCUAAUACCGGAUAUUCCGAUCAGGUCGCAUGGCCAGAUCGGGAAAGCUCCGGCGGAGAAGGAUGACCCCGCGGCCCAUUAGCUUGUUGGUGAGGUAACGGCUCACCAAGGCGACGAUGGGUAGCCGAGCUGAGAGGCUGAUCGGCCACACUGGGACUGAGACACGGCCCAGACUCCUACGGGAGGCAGCAGUGGGGAAUCCUGCGCAAUGGGCGAAAGCCUGACGCAGCAACGCCGCGUGCGGGAUGAAGGCUCUCGGGUCGUAAACCGCUUUCAGCAGGGAUGAAAUUGACAGUACCUGCAGAAGAAGCCCCGGCUAAAUACGUGCCAGCCGCCGCAGUAAUAC